rnacentral:rRNA from 1 species
AGAGUUUGAUCCUGGCUCAGGAUGAACGCUAGCUACAGGCUUAACACAUGCAAGUCGAGGGGCAGCAUUUCAGUUUGCUUGCAAACUGGAGAUGGCGACCGGCGCACGGGUGAGUAACACGUAUCCAACCUGCCGAUAACUCGGGGAUAGCCUUUCGAAAGAAAGAUUAAUACCCGAUGGUAUAAUCAGACCGCAUGGUCUUGUUAUUAAAGAAUUUCGGUUAUCGAUGGGGAUGCGUUCCAUUAGGCAGUUGGUGAGGUAACGGCUCACCAAACCUUCGAUGGAUAGGGGUUCUGAGAGGAAGGUCCCCCACAUUGGAACUGAGACACGGUCCAAACUCCUACGGGAGGCAGCAGUGAGGAAUAUUGGUCAAUGGGCGCAGGCCUGAACCAGCCAAGUAGCGUGAAGGAUGACUGCCCUAUGGGUUGUAAACUUCUUUUAUAUGGGAAUAAAGUUUUCCACGUGUGGAAUUUUGUAUGUACCAUAUGAAUAAGGAUCGGCUAACUCCGUGCCAGCAGCCGCGGUAAUACGGAGGAUCCGAGCGUUAUCCGGAUUUAUUGGGUUUAAAGGGAGCGUAGGUGGACAGUUAAGUCAGUUGUGAAAGUUUGCGGCUCAACCGUAAAAUUGCAGUUGAUACUGGCUGUCUUGAGUACAGUAGAGGUGGGCGGAAUUCGUGGUGUAGCGGUGAAAUGCUUAGAUAUCACGAAGAACUCCGAUUGCGAAGGCAGCUCACUGGACUGCAACUGACACUGAUGCUCGAAAGUGUGGGUAUCAAACAGGAUUAGAUACCCUGGUAGUCCACACAGUAAACGAUGAAUACUCGCUGUUUGCGAUAUACAGUAAGCGGCCAAGCGAAAGCAUUAAGUAUUCCACCUGGGGAGUACGCCGGCAACGGUGAAACUCAAAGGAAUUGACGGGGGCCCGCACAAGCGGAGGAACAUGUGGUUUAAUUCGAUGAUACGCGAGGAACCUUACCCGGGCUUAAAUUGCAUUUGAAUAUAUUGGAAACAGUAUAGUCGUAAGACAAAUGUGAAGGUGCUGCAUGGUUGUCGUCAGCUCGUGCCGUGAGGUGUCGGCUUAAGUGCCAUAACGAGCGCAACCCUUAUCUUUAGUUACUAACAGGUCAUGCUGAGGACUCUAGAGAGACUGCCGUCGUAAGAUGUGAGGAAGGUGGGGAUGACGUCAAAUCAGCACGGCCCUUACGUCCGGGGCUACACA